UGUUCUUUUCUCCUAAAUUACUUGUGCAGCCGUGACUCUCUUCUCCACCAUCACCACAACCCCAUCCGACCAGCCACCCAUACCAGUCACCUCCAGCCACCGGCAACCACCACUCUCUGGAACCAUCUUUGAAGGUCUUUAGAAGUUGGUUGGCUCAUUGGAUAUUACUUGACGUUAAUUGUUUGAGCUUGUGAAGUUUGUAUCUACAAGAGGUAGGGAAACUUCUACCCUCCUUGAUAAUUCCUUCUAUGGCUUGUAUUAAUU